AUACAAUGUCCGGGCAAUUGCUGCUCCGAUUUUUCGGGGGAGAGGAAAGUCCGAACUUCAUAGAACAGGGUGCCGGGUAACUCCCGGUGAUUCGGUAUUAAUAACCGAAUUAAGGAAAGUGCCACAGAAAAUAAACUAUCCUAAUUUAUUAGGAUAAAGGUGAAAAGGCAGGGUAAAAGCCUACCGCAGUAAUGGUAACAUUGCUGGUCCCUUUUGGGAUUCCGAUUUAUCGGAACAAGGUAAACCCCACCCGAAGCAAGGCCAAAUAUAGAAGUCUUUCCUUUAUUGGAAACAAAGCUGUUCGCUUUGUAUGGCUUCAGGGUAGGCCGCUUGAACCCUUUGGCAACAAAGGGGCUAGAUAAAUAAUUGCCAUCCUGAUCUGUCUGCCGACAAGGCAGGUUUAUCGGGAUACAAAAUUCGGCUUAUAGGACUUGUGUUUUU
rnacentral:RNase_P_RNA from 1 species